UUAUUCGGAAUUAUUGGGCUUAAAGGGUGCGUAGGCGGUUCGGUAAGUGCGUUGUGAAAUCCCUCGGCUCAACCGAGGAAUUGCGCUGCAUACUGCCGUGCUGGAGGGAGACAGAGGUAAGCGGAACUGAUGGUGGAGCGGUGAAAUGCGUUGAUAUCAUCAGGAACACCGGUGGCGAAAGCGGCUUACUGGGUCGCUUCUGACGCUGAGGCACGAAAGCUAGGGUAGCGAACGGG
rnacentral:rRNA from 1 species